GGGCGCUUAGCUCAGUGGUAGAGCACCGUCUUCACACGGCGGGGGUCACUGGUUCGAGCCCAGUAGCGCCCACCA
rnacentral:tRNA from 1 species